GCCCCGGGCUCAGUACGGUAGAGCGACGGCUUCGUAAGCCGUAAGUCCUGGGAUCGAAGCCCAGCCGGGGCUCCA
rnacentral:tRNA from 1 species